CUCCGGUUGAUCCUGCCGGACCCGACUGCUAUCAGAGUGGGACUAAGCCAUGCGAGUCGACGUAGCAAUGCGUGGCGAACGGCUCAGUAACACGUAGUCAACAUGCCCAGGGGACGUGGAUAACCUCGGGAAACUGAGAAUAAACCACGAUAGGUCACGAUUUCUGGAAUGGAUCAUGGCCUAAAUCUACAUGGCCCCUGGAUUGGACUGCGGCCGAUCAGGCUGUUGGUGAGGUAAUGGCCCACCAAACCUAUAACCGGUACGGGCUCUGAGAGGAGAAGCCCGGAGAUGGGCACUGAGACAAGGGCCCAGGCCCUAUGGGGCGCAGCAGGCGCGAAACCUCUGCAAUAGGCGAAAGCCUGACAGGGUUACUCUGAGUGAUUUCCGCUAAGGGGAUCUUUUGGCACCUCUAAAAAUGGUGCAGAAUAAGGGGUGGGCAAGUCUGGUGUCAACCGCCGCGGUAAUACCAGCACCCCGAGUGGUCGGGACGAUUAUUGGGCCUAAAGCAUCCGUAGCCGGUUCUGCAAGUCUUCCGUUAAAUCCAGCCGCUCAACGGAUGGGCCGCGGAGGAUACUACAGGACUAGGAGGCGGGAGAGGCAAGCGGUACUCAGUGGGUAGGGGUAAAAUCCUUUGAUCCAUUGAAGACCACCAGUGGCGAAGGCGGCUUGCCAGAACGCGCUCGACGGUGAGGGAUGAAAGCUGGGGGAGCAAACCGGAUUAGAUACCCGGGUAGUCCCAGCUGUAAACGAUGCAGACUCGGUGAUGGGCUAGCCUUGUGCCAGCCCAGUGCCGCAGGGAAGCCGUUAAGUCUGCCGCCUGGGGAGUACGGUCGCAAGACUGAAACUUAAAGGAAUGGGCGGGGAGCA
rnacentral:rRNA from 1 species